UGAGCCAACCAAGAAUCAAAGAGGAAAUAAAAAAAUACAUGGAGAUAAAUGAAAAUGAAAACCCAAUUGUGCAAAAUCUUUGGGAUCCAGUGAAAGCUGUUCUAAGAAGUUUUAUAAAAUUCAG